CCUACGUGAGGCAGCCGUGGGGAAUAUUGCGCAAUGGGCGAAAGCCUGACGCAGCGACGCCGCGUGAGGGAUGAAGGUCUUCGGAUCGUAAACCUCUGUCAGCAGGGAAGAACGGUCACUGUGCUAAUCAGCAGUGAAUUGACGGUACCUGCAAAGGAAGCACCGGCUAACUCCGUGCCAGCAGCCGCGGUAAUACGGAGGGUGCGAGCGUUAAUCGGAAUUACUGGGCGUAAAGCGCUCGUAGGCGGUAUGUCAAGUCAAGGGUGAAAUCCCCGAGCUCAACGUGGGAACUGCCUUUGAAACUGGUAAACUGGAGUGUGUGAGAGGAUAGUGGAAUUCCAGGUGUAGGAGUGAAAUCCGUAGAUAUCUGGAGGAACAUCAGUGGCGAAGGCGACUAUCUGGCACAUAACUGACGCUGAGGAGCGAAAGCGUGGGUAGCAAACAGGAUUAGAUACCCCUGUAGUC
rnacentral:rRNA from 1 species